rnacentral:snRNA from 1 species
GUGCUCGCUUCGGCAGCACAUAUAUAUACUAAAAUUGGAAUAACACAGAGAAGAUUAGCAUUGUCUCCAUGCAAGGAUGACACACAAAUUCUUGAAGUGUUCCAUAUUUUU